UGAGGCGCAGAAGAAUAGAUUUGUUUCAGAUUGAUGGAAAACAGAAGUUCCCUCCAUGCAACAGCUUCCAGUCUGGGUCAGUAAAAGGGCUGAAGGGAUUCAGUGUGUGAUGGAUACUCAAAGAAGCCAAUCAAACACAGCCUGAUUAUGGAUAAGAGGAGAAGUUUCCCAGUAGUAGCAGGCAG